AACGAACGCUGGCGGCAUGCCUAACACAUGCAAGUCGAACGAGACCUUCGGGUCUAGUGGCGCACGGGUGCGUAACGCGUGGGAACCUGCCCUUAGGUUCGGAAUAACUUCCCGAAAGGGGUGCUAAUACCGGUUAAUGUCUUCGGACCAAAGAUUUAUCGCCUUUGGAUGGGCCCGCGUUGGAUUAGCUAGUUGGUAGGGUAAAAGCCUAUCAAGGCGACGAUCCAUAGCUGGUCUGAGAGGAUGAUCAGCCACACUGGGACUGAGACACGGCCCAGACUCUUACGGGAGGCGGCAGUGGGGAAUAUUGGACAAUGGGAGAAAGCCUGAGCCAGCAAUGCCGCGUGAGUGAUGAAGGCCUUAGGGUUGUAAAGCUCUUUUACCCGGGAUGAUAAUGACAGUACCGGGAGAAUAAGCGCCGGCUAACUCCGUG
rnacentral:rRNA from 1 species